UACGUAGGGGGCUAGCGUUGUUCGGAAUUACUGGGCGUAAAGGGCGCGUAGGCUGUGCUGUAAGUCAGGCGUGAAAUCCCCGGGCUCAACCUGGGAAUUGCGUUUGAUACUGCGGCGCUGGAAUGCAGGAGAGGAUGGCGGAAUUCCCAGUGUAGAGGUGAAAUUCGUAGAUAUUGGGAAGAACACCGGUGGCGAAGGCGGCCAUCUGGCCUGUAAUUGACGCUGAGGCGCGAAAGCGUGGGGAGCAAACAGG
rnacentral:rRNA from 1 species